rnacentral:rRNA from 1 species
GAUUGAACGCUGGCGGCAUGCUUUACACAUGCAAGUCGAACGGUAACAGGCCUUCGGGUGCUGACGAGUGGCGAGCGGGUGAGUAAUGCAUCGGAACGUGCCCAGAGGUGGGGGAUAACGCAGCGAAAGCUGUGCUAAUACCGCAUGUGAUCUGAGGAUGAAAGCGGGGGACCAGGCAGCAAUGUUUGGCCUCGCUCCUUUGGAGCGGCCGAUGUCAGAUUAGGUAGUUGGUGGGGUAAAGGCCUACCAAGCCGACGAUCUGUAGCUGGUCUGAGAGGACGACCAGCCACACUGGGACUGAGACACGGCCCAGACUCCUACGGGAGGCAGCAGUGGGGAAUUUUGGACAAUGGGCGCAAGCCUGAUCCAGCAAUGCCGCGUGCGGGAAGAAGGCCUUCGGGUUGUAAACCGCUUUUGUACGGAACGAAAAGGCUCUGGCUAAUACCUGGGGCUGAUGACGGUACCGUAAGAAUAAGCACCGGCUAACUACGUG